rnacentral:rRNA from 1 species
CUGGCGGCGUGCCUAACACAUGCAAGUCGAGCGGAGACAGACGGAAAGCUUGCUUCUGUCUGUUCAGCGGCGGACGGGUGAGUAACGCGUGAGCAACCUGCCUUUAACAGGGGAAUAACGCAUCGAAAGAUGUGCUAAUACCGCAUAAGACCACAGCAUCACAUGGUGCAGGGGUCAAAGGAGCAAUCCGGUUAAAGAUGGGCUCGCGUCCGAUUAGCUGGUUGGUGAGACAACAGCCCACCAAGGCGACGAUCGGUAGCCGACCUGAGAGGGUGAUCGGCCACAUUGGAACUGAGAUACGGUCCAGACUCCUACGGGAGGCAGCAGUGGGGAAUAUUGGGCAAUGGGCCGAAAGCCUGACCCAGCAACGCCGCGUGAGGGAAGAAGGGUUUCGGCUCGUAAACCUCUGUCCUAUGGGACGAAGGAAGUGACGGUACCAUAGGAGGAAGCCCCGGCUAACUACGUGCCAGCCGCGGC